GUUCAAUAGCAACUGUGCAAAAAUCAAAAUUUGAUUUUGCUUCUUUGGAAAUAAAGAAAACAGAGCGGCCAAACAACCAUAGGGAUGGCAUCCACAGAUUAAGGGCAAUUCUAUCCCUCUGUCUACUGAUUCCAUCUCACUUUU
rfam:Corchorus olitorius cultivar O-4 contig24620, whole genome shotgun sequence.